rnacentral:rRNA from 1 species
GACGAACGCUGGCGGCGUGCUUAACACAUGCAAGUCGAACGAAGUGGCGAACGGGUGAGUAACGCGUACUCAACCUGCCCUUCAGAGGGGGACAACAGUUGGAAACGACUGCUGAUACCGCAUACGGAAGGCGGGGCUUGCGUCUGAUUAGCUAGGUGGAGGGGUAACGGCCCACCAAGGCGCUGAUCAGUAGCCAGACUGGGAGGAUGAGCGGCCACAUUGGGCCUGAGACACGGCCCAGACUCCUACGGAAGGCAGCAGUGGGGAAGCUUCCGCAAGGGACGAAAGUCUGACGGAGCAACGCAGCGUGAGUGAUGACGGCCUUCGGGUUGUAAAGCUCUGUUAAUCGGGACGCGGUACCGGAAUAGAAAGCCACGGCUAACUACGUGCCAGCAGCCGCGGUAAUAC